UACGUAGGGGGCAAGCGUUAUCCGGAUUUACUGGGUGUAAAGGGUGCGUAGGUGGUAUGGUAAGUUGGAUGUGAAAUUUGGGGGCUCAACCCCCAAGCUGCAUCCAAAACUACUGAACUAGAGUGCAGGAGAGGAAAGCGGAAUUCCGAGUGUAGCGGUGAAAUGCGUAGAUAUUCGGAGGAACACCAGUAGCGAAGGCGGCUUUCUGGACUGUAACUGACACUGAGGCACGAAAGCGUGGGGAGCGAACAGG
rnacentral:rRNA from 1 species